UACAGAGGGUGCGAGCGUUAAUCGGAAUUACUGGGCGUAAAGCGCGCGUAGGCGGCUUUGCAAGUCGGGUGCGAAAUCCCCAGGCUUAACCUGGGAACUGCAUUCGAGACUGCAUUGCUAGAGUAUGGGAGAGGGAAGUGGAAUUUCCGGUGUAGCGGUGAAAUGCGUAGAUAUUGGAAGGAACACCAGUGGCGAAGGCGACUGUCUGGAUAGUUACUGACACUGAGACACGAAAGCAUGGGGAGCAAACAGG
rnacentral:rRNA from 1 species